GGAACAUAUUUCUUGCUUUAGAUUCAUGUUUUGAUGGUUUUUACUAGAUGAAACCCUAGAAAUGGAAAUUCGGGUUUAUUUUGGAAAUUUUUGAUUUGAAGCUUUUGGGACUCUUUUGAUAAGUGUAGAACAACUCGUUGGGGUAAAUUUGAAGGACUCUAGCUUCCAAUUAGAAUUUGAGAGGGAUUUUCUACACUUUAGAGGGAUUUUCU
rnacentral:lncRNA from 1 species